CGGGGCGUGGCUCAGUUGGCUAGAGCACACGGUUCGGGACCGUGGGAUCGCUGGUUCAAGUCCAGUCGCCCCGA
rnacentral:tRNA from 1 species